rnacentral:rRNA from 1 species
UUUAUGGAGAGUUUGAUCCUGGCUCAGGAUGAACGCUGGCGGCGUGCCUAAUACAUGCAAGUCGAGCGAACAGAUAAGGAGCUUGCUCCUUUGACGUUAGCGGCGGACGGGUGAGUAACACGUGGGUAACCUACCUAUAAGACUGGAAUAACUCCGGGAAACCGGGGCUAAUGCCGGAUAACAUGUUGAACCGCAUGGUUCUACAGUGAAAGACGGUCUUGCUGUCACUUAUAGAUGGACCCGCGCCGUAUUAGCUAGUUGGUGGGGUAACGGCCUACCAAGGCGACGAUACGUAGCCGACCUGAGAGGGUGAUCGGCCACACUGGAACUGAGACACGGUCCAGACUCCUACGGGAGGCAGCAGUAGGGAAUCUUCCGCAAUGGGCGAAAGCCUGACGGAGCAACGCCGCGUGAGUGAUGAAGGUCUUCGGAUCGUAAAGCUCUGUUGUUAGGGAAGAACAAAUGUGUAAGUAACUGUGCACAUCUUGACGGUACCUAACCAGAAAGCCACGGCUAACUACGUGCCAGCAGCCGCGGUAAUACGUAGGUGGCAAGCGUUAUCCGGAAUUAUUGGGCGUAAAGCGCGCGUAGGCGGUUUUUUAAGUCUGAUGUGAAAGCCCACGGCUCAACCGUGGAGGGUCAUUGGAAACUGGAAAACUUGAGUGCAGAAGAGGAAAGUGGAAUUCCAUGUGUAGCGGUGAAAUGCGCAGAGAUAUGGAGGAACACCAGUGGCGAAGGCGGCUUUCUGGUCUGCAACUGACGCUGAUGUGCGAAAGCGUGGGGAUCAAACAGGAUU